UACGGGGGGGGCAAGCGUUGUUCGGAAUUACUGGGCGUAAAGGGCGCGUAGGCGGCUAUUCAAGUGGCGGGUGAAAUCCCUCGGCUUAACCGAGGAACUGCCUGCCAGACUGGAUGGCUUGAGACCGGGAGAGGUGAGUGGAAUUCCCAGUGUAGCGGUGAAAUGCGUAGAUAUUGGGAGGAACACCAGUGGCGAAGGCGGCUCACUGGACCGGUACUGACGCUGAGGCGCGAAAGCGUGGGGAGCAAACAGG
rnacentral:rRNA from 1 species